rnacentral:rRNA from 1 species
GCGCAGCAGGCGAGAAACCUCCGCAAUACACGAAAGUGUGACGGGGCCAUCCCGAGCGCCGUCCGCUGAGGACGGCUUUUCCCCAGUGUACACAGCUGGGGGAAUAAGGAGAGGGCAAGCCUGGUGUCAGCCGCCGCGGUAAUACCAGCUCUCCGAGUGGUGGGGACGCUUAUUGGGCCUAAAGCAUCCGUAGCCGGCUGGGCAAGUCCUCCGUUAAAAUCCAACGAUUCAAUCGUUGGGCUGCGGGGGAUACUGUCCAGCUUGGGGGCGGGAGAGGCCGACGGUAUUCCCGGGGUAGGGGUGAAAUCCUAUAAUCCCGGGAGGACCACCAGUGGCGAAGGCUGUCGGCUAGAACGCGCCCGACGGUGAGGGAUGAAAAGCUGGGGGAGCGAACCGGAUUAGAUA